GGUGUUCAUAAGACUGUAGUCUUUUUUAUUGUAGGAAUGGUUUCAUUUUCCUUUGAUGAAGUAGAAUUACGUUCACGGUAUGAAACUGUGAGCUUUUCAGGUAAGAACUAAUGGCUCUUGUUUUGAGUACUGUAUUCAGCUCUGGAUCCCCCAGCACAAGAAGGACAGGGACAGCUAAGGGGUUGGAAUUAGAUGAUCUUUAAGGUCCCUUCUAAACCAAACCGUUCUAUGAUUCUAUGGUUCUAUGGUUCUAUGAUUUUAUGGUUCUAUAAUUCUAUGACGGUGGUAUUACCCUAAUGGCAACAUGCUCCUCAUUAACUUACUUGAUAUUUCAGCAGCAUACACUUUUUUUCUGGGGCCAAGGGAAGACCAAACGAACUCAGUUUGUCAACAUUAUUUUUGAAGAAUGACACUCAUCCUGAACACGUAAACCCAAUGACUCCGAAAUGUUCUCCAUAAAGACUGAGAUCCUUGUCAAAGAGAUGGAGAAACUACAUCACAGAACAAAGGUACUGACUUGCUAAUGGUCAUGCCACAAAUCAGGAUAGAAAAUAGAGGAGGUGGAGCACUGGGACCCAGAGGUAUUGAGCUGCCAAAGGUCACAGAGGUUGCAUUGAAGUUGAGAGCUGAACUUGUGCUCCUAUGUCCUGAUCAAGCAGAGCUCCAAGAUGGAGUUUAAAACUAUGCACAGAAGGACCUGCUGCAGAGACGAGCAGGGCCAAGCCAUGGAGACCUCACUACAACCUACAGUAGGAGAGUUUCACUUGCAGUGCUUGCAGGUGUGUUGGUUUGUGUUGGUUUGGUACAUGUAGACAGUUAUUACGACUUCUCCAUCUUGGGGGGAGCCUGCAGAUGCUGACUCUUCAACUGAACAACUUUCCAUCAUCCUUAAAAAGAACACUGGAAAAUGGAUUUCUCCAUGCCACAGAAUGGGCACCCCAAAUUAGCAACCACUUUUCAGC
rnacentral:lncRNA from 1 species